GCCGGGGCGGGAGGGGGGGCGCGGGCGCGAGCACGCCGGUCGCGCGCGGCUCGGCGCUCCGGGUCCGCGCGCUGCAGCUGCCUGCAGAGCGCACACUGUGCCCGCCCUCCACCUCCGCGGUGAAUUUACGCACCUUCGGGCGGACUCGGAGUGACGCUCACGUGCGGGCACUGCCAGCCACCUCUGUGUUCGGCCGAGGCCCCCGAGCUUCCUUCCACCACGGUCCUGCCCUCGUCUGUGGAGUGCCAGCUUUGCAGGCCGGCCCACUCCGCACAAAAGCCCCAAAGGGCCUCCGCCCCCUUCUUCCGUUCCUAAGAUGGCAAAUCCCAGCACUUACUCCGUUGGCAGAUCCUCUCUAUAGGAGGCCCAACUUACUUUUGCCCUUGUUGGCUGCUCCUUCUGGCCCAGGAAGCCAGUUUCUUCUACUGACCUAGAAAGAAAGCUCUUGACUCAUGUCCUCCUUUUGAGCUUCAGAACGCCCAGCAAAAUAAGUUGAGAGAGCAUCGCUCGCUGUAUGGCCUGAGGAUGUUGCACCUAAGGGCCUCGUCUUCCUUUCUGGUUUCAGGUUUCUGGAACAGACCUAGAGCUUCACCAAGAGAAUUCAACUUGGAAACCAAGACUGGUAGACUCUCAUUUCUUCCAACAAGAGGCAGAAGUCAGAGAGAGACUGCAGAUUCUUGGGACACCUGUAUUCCUUUUGGAGGACACUAAGUUCUUUGAGAAGAGACGAAGGCAGUUCAAUAUGGCAACCGAACUGAAAGAACAGCAAGGAGCCAUUACUGUGAUUUGGUGACAGUUCUUCAGACGACAGUGUCUUAAGGGAGACUGGAUAAAAGAACUUCUGAACUUUGUGGGUUCGUUAAGUGAGAAGUCGGCAUGGCUCAGGUAAAAAGCUCUAGCGUCCUCCUUCAAGACCGUUCACUGGGAAGCCUGUUUGCAAUGUCACUCUUGAAUUCUGCCUUAGUCAACAGUAUUGACCAUCCCCAGUGAGCCGAGCUCUGUAUUAAGCGCCAGGGGGAGAUCUAGAGGAAGGAAAGGAGACAGGCCACACAGCCCCUGCCUUCAGGGAGCUUCCAGUCAAAUGAAGGAGGCAAGUCUUCUGGCUUGUGAAGGCCUAGCAGGUGUGAGUUUGGUUCCCACUGCAGCCAGCAAGAAGAUGAUGCUGAGCCAGAUUGCCAGCAAGCAGGCCGAAAACGGCGAGCGGGCAGGUAGCCCUGAUGUGCUGAGGUGCUCAAGUCAGAUGGACUGUAAGCCUAGAUAUGAUUUGUCUUCAAAGGGCCACCGAAAAGACAGUGAUAAAUCCCGCAACCGCAAAGAUGAUGACAGCUUGGCUGAGGCCUCUCAUUCAAAAAAGACUGUUAAAAAGGCAGGUGGUGGUAGUGGAACAAAAUGGCUCUUUUCAAGUAAAGAUUCCCAAAAAUUUUAUUUGUGAACACUGCUUUGGAGCCUUUCGGAGCAGUUACCACCUCAAGAGGCACGUCCUUAUCCACACUGGUGAGAAGCCGUUUGAGUGUGACGUCUGUGAUAUGCGGUUCAUCCAGAAGUACCACCUUGAGCGCCACAAGCGGGUACACAGUGGCGAAAAGCCUUAUCAGUGUGAACGAUGUCAUCAGUGUUUUUCUCGGACAGACCGAUUACUCAGACACAAACGGAUGUGCCAAGGAUGCCAGUCCAAGACUUCUGAUGGGCAGUUUUCUCUGUAGGCAUGAGGGGCCCUAGGUGGUGGGAGUGCUGAGGAGAGUCUUCAGAAGAUCAUAGCCCUGUGCUCUGACAGUCCCACCACCGCUUCCUCUGAACCUGUCCCCCUUCCUAGAGGACUGGCCCCAGGUGAGCAGAAGAGUGUCAGAGGACAUCAGCUCCAGAGCCUCCGCUCUGUAACUAGUCAGAGACUAUGAGUAUCCCGGGGACAUCUGCAGCAUUCCUGGCCAGGGAGCCGGUCCCUGAGCUCAGCUGAGGUGAGGUGGGGACUCACAGGUGCAGGACCAAGACUGAAUGUUCCCACAGCCUUGGACUGGAACUGGCAGCUAAAACAGAAAGGACUGGGGAAGGGUAUUUGUUUGUUCUGCUCUUGUUUUUGUUUAUUCAAAAGCAAUUUCAGCAGGUAAACUGGGGAUACAGGUAAUGUGGAGGGGAAAGUCCUAAAGCACAGCAAGGACUGUGGCUGGUCUGGCCUUUUCUGUCACCAUAGUCCCUCGGUGUUCCACAGCCUGCCCUUCCUCUUUGAAAGCAAAUAGGACCGGGGCUGGCAGCUGAGCUUCCUUGGACUUCUUAUACACUGAGGACAAAAGGAGACACUGGGAAGGACAGACGUGGGCUAGACAAGAAGAGUGGGCAAACCUUUGCUUAUCUCCUCAAGAAGAGCGGUGUUGUGUCACGGGUGUUCCCAUGGUCUGUCAGCACUGAGGCCUGAUGGGGUCAGCUCAAGUGCCUUGUGGAGGAAGCUUGGGUGGGGCAGCCCAUUCGGCCCUCUUCUCUGGGCAGUUGGUCUUGGUUGUGGUGUGUGGCUACCUCGCUUGUCCUUAACUCUAGAAUCCAGGCACAGUUGGGCAGGGAGCUGUGGGUGUUGGUGGGCUGUCCUUGUGUGCCCUCUUAGAACAAGGAUAGUCCAGAGUUUUGCUAACAACUGUGAGAAGAACAAAACUUGUGACAGUCCUCACAUGACCUGUGUAAGAGAACACUCUCCGUGCCGGAAUCCUCUGCCUGUUCAAGUAGAGGAGAUGGAGCUCUGGUCUGGUCCUCAGUCUCAGAGAACCAGCCUUGGCUCCUGAAUAAGCAUCCCUGCAGAGUGGUGGAGGAGGGUGCUUCAGAGGAAGGAUUGCAGGAAGACACCUCAUGUCUGUUUUAUUCUUGACCUUAACUCUUACUACACCCUUCCAUCUUGUCCACACCUGGAAAAGUGAUCGGAUUUGUGUGUGUGUCUGAUUUGUGAGUGGUUAUGUUUCUUUGCUUGGAAGGGAUGAGAAUUAUUGACCGAAAUUUAUUCGUCCACCAACUUGAAGGACAGUAAGCAUAGGGCAGGCAGCCUUCCCACCCAGACCAGAAAGGACAUCCUCCUCCCAGAGCUUGCUGAGAGCAAGGGAACAGAGGAGCUUGUUCCAGCAUGGUGUUGAGGGGUUUUCUCAUUAUUGUUAGGUUGAUUUAACUGUAUUGGUCAGAGUGUUUCUAAGCCAGGGCUUCUGAGUAUGUAUUUCCUAAAGUGAAAUAACUCUCUUCCUGCUAAAGACAGGAUUCUUGAGGGAGAUUGUAGGAUUUCUUUGAGCGCUUACCCACCCCCGAGACCUACUUCAGGUGUAAUCACUGGGUUACACCUGAGCACGCAGCUGCAGCCAUGGGUAGGAAUCUGAGAUGGCUGCCUCUAGGAAGAUGUUCUUGACUUGCAAAUGAGAGCCAGGCAACCUAUACUAAGGCCUCUUCCAGUGUAUUGGGGGAUGGUCUACCACAGCUUCAGGGUAGAGGUACUUAAGGGGAGAAGGGAGGAUGUCUCAGCCUUCAGCUUUCCUCUGAUAGCACCUGAGAGGAGGUCUGAGGAACAUGCACUGCCGUGUGUUCUAGCUUCCUGCUGUCUCUGUGACACACUCUAGAACCUGCACCUCCAACCUCCAUCCACCAUGUGCCCCUGGGCAUCCAUGUGCAUGUCACACAAACCUUUUACUGUUAGAGGAUUCUAAUGGGCUGGGAUUUUUCUGUCACUCAACUCUGGGAAAGAGGAUACGUCUCGAAAGAUACCCUCCUAAAAAUGCUUUUGAGAGUGGGAUUCUCCGCCCCCUCCUGCGCCACUUGAAGACGAUCAAUUUGUGCUGAAAGUUGGAAGAGUGACCCAUGCCUCUGCAUGCAUGAAUGUGUGUACUGGGUCAGAGCAGGCCUUUCAGACCAUGGCUUCCUGCCUGUGUUGAAGCUGAGAGAAGUGAGAGAGAACUGGAUGUGUACUGAUGGCCCAACCAGAACCACACUGCCAAGGCCAAGUGUGAAAAUCAGAAGCUGGCAGUAGGUAAGGGCAGACAGGCCCUGGGGUGGAGAGUAACGCAACAGCUGAAGGCCCAGGAGCCACCUCUCUACCCUAGGGAACGCAGACAGCUGCAAAGGCUCCUGGGCCAGAUACCCCCUCUGCUGGGGUGGGUUGUUAGCACUGGACAGAUGUCUCAGGUGUGUGUAGAAGGGGAAAUGAGGAGAAGGUGGGUGAUCAGACAUCAGAACAUGGACGUGGGGUUGGUGGGGAGAGGAAUACCAGCCCUUGGGGUGGGCUCUUGCCCCAGGCCCUGCCCUUCCCUCCCACCCUUGCUGGUGCCUGCCUGCCCUUUCCGUCCAUUCCCAACAGCCUCUUGUCAUUUAGCUACUGAUUGUACUUCAUGGCUUGACAGAGGGUUAGAGGAGUGGGGUGGCCACACUUUCCACCCUCUCCCCCUAGGUUCCUUCUGUCCCUGCUGUGGCCCUGGGCUUUUGAUCUCCAACUCCCCUCCUACCAUGCUCCUUUUUUUUUUUUAAAAUAUACUUAUUUUGCUAUGGGGAGGGGACUAUCAAAUGGACAAGAUCACUUUUAAUGUAGUUUUUAUAAGAUGUUAUAAACUUGUAUCUUUUUACCAUUAAAGUGCAGUGUAUGUUCCUUUGUGACAUAUUUAGGAUAUUUAAAUAAAAAAGACAGCGCUUUUCUACUUCCCA